GAUUAAAGGCAUAUGCCAGAUUAAAUUUUAGUAGUAAAAAAAAUUAUAAUUUAAGAAAAGCCCCCAGCCAGGCAUGGUAACAGCACACACCCUUAAUCCUAGCACUUCAGAGGCAGAGCGCUGAGUUCCAGGACAGCCCGGUUUGCAGAGUGAGUUCCAGGUCAGCCAGGGAUACACAGAGAAACUCUCUAUAGGAAAAACAAAGAAAAGAGAAAAAAAGAAAAGACCACCAAACUGUUCCCUCUCACCCAACUCUCUUCUUAUGAAUGAAAAUUAUACAAAAUAUGAGAUUUCUUGUCCCUCAUUCAAAUCUUUCCCUUCCUUUCACAAUCAUUUAAUCAAGACACCUUUAGACCAAACAAUCCCAGCUCCUGAUUUAAUAAAACAUCCUGUCCAAAGAAAGAAACCUGUCAAAAAAUAAAAAUAAGGGGUUGGGGAUUUAGCUCAGCGGUAGAGCGCUUACCUAGCAAGUGCAAGGCCCUGGGUUCGGUCCCCAGCUCCGAAAAAAAAAAAGAAAGAAAAAAGAAAAAGAAAAAUAAAUAAAAAAUAAAAAUAAAUAAGAAAGAAAGCUGUCAAAAAAUAAAAAUAAAUAAAACUAAAUAAAAAAAGAAAGAAAGAAAGAAACCUGUCCUUGAAGUCACUUGAAAGAGCAAAAAAGAUCUAAUAGAACAACAAAUUUGUGAGGAAGGGUAGAGCUAGGCUUCUUUAAUCCACAUUUAAUAUUUGAAAUAGAAAAUGCUGGGCUCGGGAUUUAGCUCAGUGGUAGAGCGCUUACCUAGGAAGCGCAAGGCCCUGGGUUCGGUCCCCAGCUCCAGGAAAAAAAAAAAAAAAAAGAAAGAAAGAAAGAAAAAAAAUGAAAUAGAAAAUGCUGCCCUUAAAUGCUGAGGACUAAGACAGUUUGAAGUGUAACUACCUCUGUCCCACAAGCUAAGGAUUCCAUCAAAACACCAUGGGCAGCAGUGCAGAGCCUGAGUCCUUGGUAUCUUGAGCCACCGUAGGGCAGGUGCACUGCCCACCACAAACCUAUAUUCCUGUUGCAAAAUGGAAAUAAAGUAACACUCCAUGAAGCAAGAGAGUCCAGGCCAGACAAACCAGGAACUACAUCACCCGCUGACAUGCUUGUCCAUAUCAUGUGAUAGACAUGUAUUUAUUUAUUGAGGUGGAGUCUCAUGUAACCGUAACUGGCUUCAAACCCACUAUGUAGCUGAGGAAGACCUUGAACUUCUGAUCCUCCUGCCUCCACCUCCCAGGUGCUAGGAUUAAGGCCUCCUAUCUCUGCAUGACUGGCCUUGAAUCUCUGCUCCUCCUGCCUCAGCCUCCGGACUGUUAGAAUAACUCGCAUAGGCUGCCACGAUUGGCUCUGUAGAAGUCAAGAAUAGAAUGUGAGCUUAAACCGGUCAUCCUCAGCUCUCUAGAAAGGACUUUGUUUCUAUUAGUGAGCCUUGAAGGGAUGUGUGCUAGGUAACAGGAUAGGCUAUUUCUAUUCUAGACCAUUGAACACUCGAUGGUCUAUGACGAGGUCUCAGAUAGCCCAGGCUGUCUUCAAGCUCUGUUAUGUAGCUCAGGAUGUCUCCCAGUUCCAGGAUUCUAUCCUGGUCUGGCUAUCAUUCCACAUCCUGUAGGGAAAGAGGGCGUAAAGUGAUGUUUCAAGCUCUCUGGUCCCUACACUAUUCAGAAACAUUUUGCUGGGCCAGAAAAAAAAAAAAAAGAAAAAAGAAAAAAGAAAAAGAAAACAAACAACAAAACCAACAAAACUUUGAAGCUUUCUAGAAAGCGUUUCUCAGAUGAAGAAACAAACAGAUCUUUUGAUUUGAACCGGGAAGCGAUUCUUCAGAGCAAGGAAGGAAAUCAAAGGCUUAAAUUCUACCACGAAAUUCAAAAGUGGUCCUUUCAGGAGGAACCCGACUUAGUUCCUCCACUCACCCAACUCGUUCUGGAGAGAGGAAAUUAGUUUACUGCCAUAUCGAAAUAAAGAAGCCAGGAGGCUGCGUUCCAGAAAAUCACGUGGCGCCUCCCUCCCCCACCUCCCUCACAGCUCUCCCAGCCGUCCCCUCCCUCCACACGGUUUGCUCGCUCGCCGCGCUGCGGCUGCGCGUUGCAGCGUGACAGCCUUGCACACUCUUGGGUGUGGGACCAAAAAAAGUGCAGAAAACCUGCUAAGAACCGAACAGCCAACAUCUUAGAGGAGGACGGUGCCAUCCUAGAAGCAGACGAGCCUUGGAAACCCAUGCCCAGCUUCCGCAGCUUUGAAACACUGACUGCGUCUUCUUCACUCAACACCUGACUCCUCGGUUCUGCAAUUAAGGGCGUUAAAUCCCGAAGAAGCCAGGCAACCCCUGUAAUCAUGACCCGUGUCUGCCCAAGGCUGCCUUUGGCCUGACAUCCUCCCCCGGUACUCUCAGGGGGAGAAAAGUUGCCUUUUGGGGGGGGGGAUGUUCACUGCUCUGAGAAUUAUAUGUUUUGGGGAGCACUCACUCCCCUUUAGUGUGACUUUA